UACGUAGGGUGCAAGCGUUGUCCGGAAUUAUUGGGCGUAAAGAGCUCGUAGGCGGUUUGUCGCGUCUGCUGUGAAAACUCAGGGCUUAACCCUGAGCUUGCAGUGGGUACGGGCAGACUAGAGUGCGGUAGGGGAGACUGGAAUUCCUGGUGUAGCGGUGAAAUGCGUAGAUAUCUGGAGGAACACCGGUGGCGAAGGCGGCAUCCUGGACCAACACUGACACUGAUGAGCGAAAGCCAGGGGAGCAAACGGG
rnacentral:rRNA from 1 species